rnacentral:rRNA from 1 species
UACAGAGGGUGCGAGCGUUGUCCGGAAUCACUGGGCGUAAAGGGCGCGUAGGCGGCUUGAUAAGCGUGCGGUGAAAGCCCGGGGCUCAACCCCGGGUCGGCCGCGGGUACUGCCGGGCUGGAGUGCCGUAGGGGCAGGCGGAAUUCCGGGUGUAGCGGUGGAAUGCGUAGAGAUCCGGAAGAACACCGGUGGCGAAGGCGGCCUGCUGGGCGGCGACUGACGCUGAGGCGCGACAGCGUGGGGAGCAAACAGG